rnacentral:tRNA from 1 species
GCCGGGGUUGGCGAGCCUGGUACGCCGUAAGGUCGAGAGCCUUAUGUCCGAGAGGACUCCGGGGUUCAAAUCCCCGCCCCGGCG